rnacentral:lncRNA from 1 species
AGAAAACUGAAUUUGUGGAAUCUGUGAUCCAAUUAUUGGUUGAGAUUACGAAGAUAUAUUGAACACAGAUAUCAUCAGAACCUACCAGAUAAUGACUUGUUUAAUGGUAGGGAUGAGUAGGUAAUUUCACUUUUAUUACAACAACUCCUUACCUCAUCAAACACCUGAUCUGCAACCAAUAAUUAACUUUGAUUAUUGGUCUAAUAUUUCACCUGAUCUCAAAUUAGAAACAAACAAGUUUUCAAAUUAGAAACAGGAAAAAUGUGUCAUAUAUUUCACCUGAUCUCUUUAUAGUGUCGCCGUUUCUUUGUUUCUUUUUGCAUUUUCUUCAUUUUGAAGAUCGUUGGUGAUGUGCACUGGUGAUGCGGUACUGAUGGGGCACCUUGUUGAAUCUGAGUAAAACCGCACCAAGAAGAAAAGCCACGUCAGUCGUAGAGCAAGACGAAGAUUUCUGAUUGUGAGAAUUGGACGUUAGGGAUAAAGAGGGAAUUAA